rnacentral:rRNA from 1 species
CACGUAGGGUGCGAGCGUUGUCCGGAAUUAUUGGGCGUAAAGAGCUCGUAGGCGGUGUGUCGCGUCGGCCGUGAAAACCUGCAGCUUAACUGUGGGCUUGCGGUCGAUACGGGCAUCACUGGAGUUCGGCAGGGGAGACUGGAAUUCCUGGUGUAGCGGUGAAAUGCGCAGAUAUCGGGAGGAACACCGGUGGCGAAGGCGGUUCUCUGGGCAACAACUGACGCUGAGGAGCGAAAGCGUGGGGAGCGAACAGG